AAAACAAGAAGUAUUACUAAAUUCCCUAAAGUUUUCUCCUUUCUUUAAAGUUUGAUAUUGAUAUUUUAUCUUUAUUUAUAUAACACGUUAUCAGCACGAAACCCUACCGUAUCAAAAUUUAAAGGCUAAGAAGUUAAUGAGGUGUACGCCCACCAUGCUAGGCGUGGAAAAGGUCAGGGAUCUGAUUCCGGACGUGGACGUGGUCGUGAUUAUGGUCAAGAAAGAAAUCAUGUUCCUGGUGUUAAUCAUUCAACAAAGAAAGGACACCGUCAAAAGAAACAAGGAAAAGAUGAGAAAUGUGAUGCUGUUAGAGCAUUUGUUUGUUUUUUAUGUGGUGCAAAGGGACACUAUGCACGUGACUGUGGCACGCCCAAGCACUUGGUUGAGCUUUACCAAGCAUCACAAAAGAAGAAAGAAAAAAAUUCUGAAGCUAAUUUUUUCACUGAAAAUCAUGUUGACAUCACACACUUGGAUGUAACAGAUUUCUUCGAGCACCCUGAAGAAAAAAUAGAUCACUUGAUUGGUGAUGGUUCUGUGCCGAUGGAAGAAUAACAAAUUUGUUUAUUUUUGCUAAUAGUAGUAAUUAGUAAACUAAAGAUCAUGUAAUAGUAGUUGUUUGUAUGAGUACUAGUCUUUUAAUUAGUUUUUUUUUACUAGUCAUAUUAUCGUAAGUUCAUUAGUAAAGUGAAUCCUUUUUGGUCC